GACCUCAUAGCUCAGUUGGCUAGAGCGUUGGCUGCACUAAAGCCAUACGCUUACUGGCGUGGGUUCGAAUCCCACACAGGUUA
rnacentral:tRNA from 1 species